CAAUGAAGGGGGCAUAGUGGAUAAAGGCAAAGUAAGGCCUCUCGGCUGUGAUUAAAAUAAACUAUUGUCCGUGGAGCAAUUACUGCUGAGCCAUGAAAAGGUGACGGAUAAACUACAGGGAAAUUAUCUCGGCUCUCUGAUCCCAAACGGCAGAUUUCGGCCGCGUGGUCACAUCGCUGUCUCCUCUCCGGGAGCACGUUGAACAGGAAGCCCUGAUCAAAGACGGAACAAUCCCGUCAUUAUCUCAGCCAUUCAGCUGCGCCAGCUUGUUUUGCUGGACGUUUGGCUUUGGAAGGAAAUAACAUUUCAACCUCUGAUAGCAAGAGCUGUACUACGGCCCCGACCCCGGUUCCGGCCCCAGGACUCCAGGCCCUGCCAGUCCCGGCUCCACGACUCCAGGCCCCGGCUCCGACCCCGCCAGUCCCGGCUCCACGACUCCAGGCCCCGGCCCCGACCCCGUCAGUCCCGGCUCCAUGACUCCAGGCCCCGGCCCCGACCCCGCCAGUCCCGGCUCCACGACUCCAGGCCCCGACCCCGGUUCUGGCCCCAGGACUCCAGGCCCCGACCCCGGCUCCAUGACGCCAGGCCCCGGCCCCCGACCCCGCCGGUUCCGGCCCCAACGCUCCUCCCUCCCGCCCCUUGUCUGUUCCUUGUCAGAUUAGGGCCACCUGGAAUUUGGCCCUUGAGAGGGAGUGCUGUCACGGUUUGGGUUCAUGUCUGGGUUUAUUUUGUAGUUUCUUUCCUCUGUUCUCCCUGGAUCACGUCACUUCC